UACGUAGGUGGCGAGCGUUGUCCGGAAUUACUGGGUGUAAAGGGCGCGCAGGCGGUUAUAUAAGUCAGGUGUGAAAGCCCGCAGCUUAACUGCGGAACUGCAUCUGAAACUAUAUAUCUUGAGUGCCGGAGAGGAAAGCGGAAUUCCUAGUGUAGCGGUGAAAUGCGUAGAUAUUAGGAGGAACACCAGUGGCGAAGGCGGCUUUCUGGACGGCAACUGACGCUGAGGCGCGAAAGCGUGGGGAG
rnacentral:rRNA from 1 species